UACGUAGGGUGCGAGCGUUAAUCGGAAUUACUGGGCGUAAAGCGUACGUAGGCGGUUCGUUAAGUCAGCUGUGAAAGCCCCGGGCUCAACCUGGGAACUGCGGUUGAAACUGGCGAACUAGAAUCUGGCAGAGGGGGGUGGAAUUCCACGUGUAGCAGUGAAAUGCGUAGAGAUGUGGAGGAGCACCGAUGGCGAAGGCAGCCCCCUGGGCUGAGAUUGACGCUCAGGCACGAGAGCGUGGGGAGCAAACAGG
rnacentral:rRNA from 1 species